CCCCGGGGGUUGGGGGGCGACACAGCGAGAGGGGCCCUGGGGGGGUGAGAGGCCGCGGGGGCCCCUCAGCCCUGCGGGGGGUGGGGAGUGGCGGUUGGGGACUCUCCGGUUUGUGUGUGUGUGUGUGUGAGACCCCCCCUCCCCCCCAAAGAGAGGUCUGCACCUGCUGGGGUGGUGUGGGGAAAGGGGGUGCCCCCCCAUAAUGGGCUGGUUUGGGGGUUCACCCCCUUCCCCUGGGGAAGCCAGAGGGUCCCCCAGCCCCUUUCCCCCCCGCCCUGAGCAGCAGUGACCCCCAAGGGUAAACUUUUAAUUAUAAAUUGCUCUUCAGUUUUGCCUCUCCUCCUGCCCAGGUAAGUCCUUUGGUUUUGUUAUUUAUCCACGUGAACUGAAACCCAGGUUUUUCCAGCUGGGGCCGAUUUUUAUGCCAUUUAUUUAUUUUAUUUGAUAUUUUUUUCUUACUUGGCCAGUGGAAAUAAAUCUCGGGUGGAAUGUCACGCCGAGCAGCUUUCCCCGCCAGGCCACGCGCGAUGGGGAGGACAAGGCUCCCACUCACACAAAAAAAUACAUGAUCCCAGCGCCAAAACGGCCCCGGCUACAAAGAGAGGCCGGCGGUUGCUGCGAAUGUUUUUUAAAGGUCUUGGGUUCUCUGCUGCCGCUAGGCCCGAGUCGGGAGGUAAAUACUGCAGGGAUCAGCAGGAAAGUGGGGUGGCCUGGAUGAGGUUUUGUUGCCAGCAUCCCCUGGCAAACUGGCUUUUUGCUCCCUGCUGAAGUUUUCAGUGUGGGGGGGAGCGUGAAGUGUAAAAACCACACUCAAGUGAAAUAUCGCGACCGCGUUGUCCGGGAACGGUGCGGCGUGCCGGGCAGGGACAGCCCGGAGCGUGUUUUGCUGUUGGUCGGUGGCCGUGACUUUGGUUUUGGUGUGGAAGUGCAGGGUGGUUAUUUUGCUGAGGGCUGUUGGAGCUGUGCGGUGGUGUCUGUGCUCUUCAAGAAAUGUAUUCCCUGUGUAUGAGUAUUUUAGUGCUCUCACUUUCAUUUUUGAGGUGGGAAAACCGAGCCCUUUUAUAAUCAGUUUGGGUCCAUUGUUUUCUUGAGCUUCCGGCAAGAAUCGUUCUUGCCGCGACCACAGAUACGUUGCUUAAAUCAUGAGACUGUUGACGUUACCGAUUUGUUUGGGUCAAGUGAGAAAACCUCUGAAGAUUUCAGAGAGUGCUGUGGAGGGACGGACUCUCUCCGCUGGGUGUUUUUGGCGAGCUUGUGCUGUUCUAUAAUUCCAGCGUGUGCUUUAUUUAGGAAAAAAAGUGCAAAGGUGCUGUCAUGACUAAGUCAGCGGGGCGAUGGUCGGUAAAACUGUUGCUCAGGGGAAAUUUGGCUUAGUUUUGAGCAAUGUGCUGAGUGUUAUGGUGGGAACGCCGGACAAAGUUGGUGCUCAGCUGAGCUUUCCAGCAAGGUGCUGGUUUGUCUGGAAAGAGCCUUUUUGAAUGGAAAACAUGAUGCUUGACAGCUGGAGAGCUGGAGUUUGCCUGGCUCUGGGAUCAGGAGCGUGCUGGGCUUUCCAAAGCACUUGAUUUUCAAGUAAUGAUUAAAAGCACCGUGGAGCGACUUGAGCAGCUUCUUUGGCGUCGUCAAGGGUGAGCUUGGGGUUGCUUUGCAAGAGCGGCUUGUGUUGCAGCUGAGGCAGGAGGACGCUGUUGCUUUUGGUGAGUGUUGUCACGAAACGCCUUGCCACACGUGAGGGGUGAAACUUGGGCUUACCCCUGAGCCCAGCCUAAGAAUAAGAAGCCUUGGAAGGACCAGAUGAGACCCUAAAGGAGCCGCAGAUGGUGUGACAGCGUGUCCCACCGCGGGGACACAACUGGACGCCCAGAGAAGUCUAGAGGAAUGGAGAAGCAUUAGGUAGAUAUGAGUUGACAUUAUAAAAGUGGGCAGGUUAAAAUGAUAAAGUCUUAAUUUUUAUGACUAGCCGUGCCUGUUUGAAAACACACUGUGUUUGACCAAUACCUCUCCUUAACUUUUAAACUACUUAUCUGCCCUUAUAGUAUCUACAAACGCUGUGAUCUUGAUACCUUUUGGGUGAUCUGCGUUGGGGUGCCUGUGUUUUCCCUCCGCCGCAACCCGCGUGUGCUCUGGGUAUAAACAAAAGCUGUUACCUUUUCCAGGCGCUGCUGAAAAGUGAGACUUGGGGAGCAGAGUUCACCUGUGAUUUGCUGGAGUGCACUGGGUCAUCCGAGUUCAGCCUUAUUUUUAGCUCUGUUUGGUUUCUUUUUUCAUGUUUUAUCUGUUUUGAUACGACUGUUGAGCCAGCAUUACCCUACAGCAGAUAUAGUUGCAGGUUUUUUCGGGCGACUCGGAGCAAGGAAAACACUGCGAGGUCUCCUUCGCACAGCAAGGGUUUAUUUAUUAUGUGGAGGAUUAUUAUAUGUUAAUAGGUAGGUUGAGGCUCUGACGUGGACUUUUCAAACUCAAGCAGUUUCUGCGUGGUGAACUUUGUGUCUUUGGAAAUACAUGUGGUUAUUAGUACUUAAUAUAUCAUGAAAUUAAAUGGUUAUCUGUAUAAUUUGAAAAAAAAAAUAAUUGGGUGAGAGAGAACUAACUGUACAGGAAAAAGAGCUUGUGCAUUUGUAGAAAGACAUUAGCUAAGGAAAAGAAAAUAUAGAGGGAAGGAGGGAUUUUAAAAAUGUAUUUUUUGAAGGAAAGCAAAGCUAGAAGUGAUGGACAUGAACAGAAAGGUUUAAAUGGGAGUUCUGGUACGUGCUGGAUAGGGAAUUAUUGGAGCUGCUGUAAGACAAGAGAUAGCUUUGAGAAAGUUCCUUAACAUGGUGGCUUCAAGAAGUAUGAUUUUCUGUGUAAAAGUAAGUUGGGAAAAGUUUGUGUCUCUGGUGAGUAUUCAGUCAGACCGGAUUUCAGGCAGAAACUGUGGUCAGAAGUUGUCAGGGUGGACAAAUGCUCUGAUUUGAUUGUAACUCUUAUUUGGGGAGGAGGGACAAGGGAGGGAUGGCACACAGAGGGGUAUUAUCCAAAAUAAAUGCCCAUCUGCUCACCUUUGCUUUGGCUUUCAGAGCGAGGAAUGAGUUCCAGGUGAAGGCGGUUGCUCUGUAGCGAGAAUUCUUCCAUGAAAAUAUAAAAUACUGACGGAACGCUCUGGGCCGCAAGCUUACGGUAGAACUUUGUGCUUUUAAAUCGAUGGCACUUCUGACGCGUGUUAAACUACGCCGUGUUUCUUUACUCUCCCUCGCUUAAAUGUAUUUGAUAUGUGUUACAUUAAGCUGCUCUUUAAAAAGUCCCCGUGCUGUGAAGAAAUUUUAUGGAUCAAUAUUAUUAGGAUACUGGUUCCUUCACAGCCCCAGCCCCAAACUCUGCAUGGGGAUGGACAAACCAACAGAUUGCUGUUGAACUCGGGUGAUGUUGUGUGUCUGCUGGCUCGUCAGGGUUAAUUUAACGCUGCACCUCGGGGCCAGAUUUGAGCCUUCUUGGGCUCGGGGCUGGUGGCAGUAGGUUUUAGUUUUCUUUUCCUAGCUUCCUUGCCUUUGGAGUGAGUUCGGCUUCUUGACGGGCUCUGUGCAGGCCCCAGUAAACUUGACCUUAAUGCAUCCCCAUAGCUCUUCCAGGGUGGGAUUGGGCAUCUCUGGACAUGGGUUUUUUCCAGGUUAUUGCAGCAGGGCAAUCGUGGCAGGUUCAGGAUGGCUUUUAACAGAUGGGUCAUUUAAAAUCUUUCUUUUCUUCUCUUCUCACUGUCUUAAUUCCGUUUCUGAGAAGCAGAGAGGAAGGAUCAGCAUUUGGGAGGAUUUCUGUGUGAAGUUCAUCACCGCUAUGCAGAGCAACUUGAGUUUUGCUGGUGUUUCUUUUAUAAUUGAGCUUUAGUUUUUCCUGAGUUGCUUUAGCUAACUGUGCUGUAGUCCCUUUCAGAAAGCGACGUGCUGGUUCCUGCUCUGUUUUGGGGCAUCUUCUGGAUGCAAGCGGCUUCCCAAAAACCCAGGAGAUCAGCAAGAAAUCCAGCAUCACUUUCAGGAAUGAAGUUGGGGUGAGGUUCUGACAGUGCUUACCCGGCGUUCGGAUGCGUUGGAGUUGGCUUGCGCUGGUAAUCUAGUGAAAUUAAGACCGUUGAGGAGGAUUUGGGUGCGUGAGGGUUUUCUGGCGUCUCUUAGCGAGGAAAGAGUUGCGCUGGAGGGGAAAGUGCCCAAGGAUCUCCCUGAGGAGACCAUCAGGGUGUCUGUGGCUGCGAUACCCUCUGGCAGUUGGGCCCAACGCCGUCUUCCCUCCGUACUUCCAUUACGAGUGGCUUUUCUUCCAAAUUACGUGAUGCAGCAUCUUUGGAGAUGAGGACCCAGGGAUGAGGAGCCCAUAAAAGUUAGUUUGAAGAGGUGAUGGUGGCUUUUGUGUCAAGCUGUUCCUCCCUGCGACUCAAGGGCAUCAGCUCCGGCUUGUGUGCGGCUUUGGCGUUGAGCUAAAGCUGAAACGAGAGUGUUCUGCAAGUCAUCUCCCAGAUGCCAGUUCGUUGAGAAGUGUUUCCGUGUUAGAAGUGUCUGGAGCGGUGGAUCGUACAUCUUGGGAGAGAAGGUUUGGAAACGUGGAGGCUUUCCUGCUGCUCCGUGGUUAGUGGCUCUUCUGCAGGGGAGGAACAGGCACGGGUUAGUGAGCUGAUUGCCAAAAUAUUAUUAAUAAAAGUACUUUUAGACCUCUCUGCCAUCUCCCCCGUUGAUGUUCCCCAGCCUUGGCACAUCUCAGCAUUCUUUCAAGCAGAAAUAGCUUUAAUUUAUUUAAUGACAAAAGCUAAUCAUGUUAUAGCGCAGAUAUGUCACUUUACCAGCUUUGGAAGAUUUCUGUGGUGAAAUGUCCUGGGGAAAACCAUUCUUACAAAAAAUGUGAUUUCAGAUAGCUUAUUAUCUUCUCAAAUUUGAGGACAUGAUUUUAUGUGUUCUCUGGCACAAGUCUGCGGGAAAAGGUUACUUCAGCCGUUGAAAUAUAUAUGCAUUUAAUGCACAGUGCUGAUGUUUGAACACUAUGUUUUUAUCUAUGGUAAGAAGUUGGUGAGAGAGUAAUAGGAGACAAAACAAAUCACUUCCCUUGUAGAUGUUGGGACGUGGAAGGAUUUUCAUCUGUGCGUAUUUGUCCAUCAUCUAAGGCCGAAAGGCUUGUUCAUGGCGUUAGCAAAUGCUGGGACACGUGGAGCUGGUGCGGUCGCUCCGUUUUUGUUUGGUGGUAAGAGCGAGCAGUGAAAUUCUCUUUUUAGAAGGCAGAGGUAACCUAUAUUUUCUUUUUCUCCCUAAUCCAGCCAUUUCAGGGCUAGUCAACUGUCAAGUUUAGUUGUGUGUAAAUCCGCUAAUAUGAUUAGAGUUGCUGGAAUUUUUACUCUGGGGAAUUACAGAUGAGUAGUAUCACUAUUUUACAGGCAUUUCUUUAGUAGGAAACUUUAUCUGUGACUUGAAUAUCUCUGUUAGCAGUUGCGAAAGCUUUUCUGGAGUGAAUGGGGAAGAGAAGACUGGGUUUUGUUACAGGGCAUGAAGAUGCGGGUGGAGGAUUCGUGUGCCCCGUGGUCUGGAGGCACGGGGGGAAUUAGUUGGGAAGGUAGUUGAUGUGGCUCCUCGCAGUGCUGGGUUUUACACUUGGUGGUAAUUCCAAGGACCUCUCCUACGUACAGCUUUGCUUUCCAAACUGCGGCCUUGGUUUUGCCUCCCAAAUAGGAAACGAUGAUGUGGAACAGCUGGAAGAAGAAAAUAGAAUAGCUUCCUAAAAAAAGGAAAGGAUGAGAGGAAGGAGAGCAAAACAAGCUUUAAGGCUAGUGAAAUUUUCUCCUACAUGUUCUUCUUCUGUUUUAUGAUACACGUUUGGAAGAUGGCCCGGAACGCGCGCUCUUUUCCUGGUGGCACACUGUUGCUGAUGGGACUUGAGUCAAAUUGCUGCUGGGCAUGUAACUAGGUUAAUGGGACAGCGUGGUUUUUCCUUUCCUGAAAGGGAAAUUACGUGCUCUCUGUUUUGAUUGUACCUUAAGAGUUGUUUUUACCUUUGGUUGCUGUCUAGUCGUCUGAGGUGGAGAGGAGAGGACAAGUUUCCCCACACUGAGAUAAUUUCAGCUACCAAAAAUAACGCAUUUCCACUGUUGGUUGUAGCACUUUGCGCGUCCUUUAUCUGGAUGAGAGUUAAAAUAUUUCUAGAGCUUUAAAUCUGCCUGAAGAAAAGCAAAGUGGCUUCUAAAAUGUGUGUUUUGUAAGGAAAAGGUCUCCAGUUUUCGACCGAUACCAGCAGCGUUCUCCAAAACCGUCGGUGAAGUGUCGAUAUGGGUCAGGACUUGUCGAGGUGCUCGGAGCAGCUGCUCCUUUCCAAGUGGUUGAACUCGACUCCCGUGCUCUGGAACAGGAGUAUCUGCAUGGAAAUAACGCUGUAAGAGUCUCAAACAUAAAGAGCAUCCCCGCUUUUACCAGGGGAGCGGACUUGACGUGGUAUAAUAAAUAUAUCCACGGGCUGGUAGGGAAAGAAAUUCGCUGCCCAUCUUUGAGUUUGCUCUUGAUUCUGUAUAAACACCGAGCAAGGGAGAGCUAACACAGUUCAAGAUCUUAAAUAACGCAGAUUUUCCUCAGUUUGAAAAGCUUUUGGGAGGUGGAAGCUCAUGAACAUUGCACCGAUUCUCUCUUUGGGGUUGCCAGAUGAUGCUUGUGUGUUUGUGUUUGGGUUUGAUUUACAUGUGAGAGUGAGUGAGUGAGUUACUGAAUUACUAAGAGCAGCCUGAUUUAAAUGUCUGUGUUGCUGGCGACAUUUGAAAAUCCAUUGGAACUAAUGCUGGUCUGAAAAUGAGGUUUUAUGCAUGAUUAAGAAGUCGUAGAAGUUAUUAUUGUGCCUUGAAACCGGCAUUUUUCUGGGCUUAUUUUGUUCUUUCGCCGAAAAGCAAAUACGACACGAGUCUUUGGUCUUUUCAGACUAAGCAGGAGACUCUUGCUAUGAGCAUCCAGGGGAAAGCUUUGUAGUGAUAGUACUCACAGCUUUGGAUUUUUAGUUGAAAGGCUUCUGACACUCUGAAGAAAGGACAUAUCUGUUAAAAAUAAUAUAUAUACAUUCUGACUGAGUGCCCAGACCUGGUCCUUCUGUCCUUGGACGGCCACGGAAUCUAUAGAACCAUCAAGUCUGAUGUGAAAUUAUAAGCGGAAUCUGGUCUGCAAACUUUCUGGAAGUCUCAAGUUCUUAUUUGUGGUGAUGUACAGGGCGCUUUAAGCACUGGAUGCUUCAUUUUGCAGCAUUUGGCUCUAUAUCUAUAUUAUAUUUGAAAGCGAAUUAGUCAAUGUGCAUACCUGAGGGUUGAUAAUCUUUACCACUUUUCUUUUUUCAAGAACUGAGAUCAGAAAGCAUUUCAAGCGUGUUUGCUGUGACUUUUAAUGUGAAAUUCACGGUGCAUCUCAAGCUCUGGAGGCUGGGAAGGGAUUUCAGCAGCGGGUGAUUCAUGCCCCGUUUUAGCAUCUUUUGGACGUGCUAUUUCUUGGGCUGGUGAGACAUCAGAGUUCAACUCGCUGGAGGAUAUAGAGUUAGAAUAUAAAGUUCGCAGCAGUGCUCACACAUAUAAAUACCAGUUCUCGGAUGGUCUCUCUUGAAAUACUUUCCUGGGCUCUGCGUUUUGUAUUCUAGACUUGCGAAAUGCAAAUAAUUCAGCUGUCAACCUGUCUGUGUGACUGGAGUUUUCUGUUUUCCUUCCUUGUGCUUAAAAGUAGUUUUCAAAGCGCUUUUUCUUCAAAAGAAAAAAGAACAUGGAAUUUUUGUUGAUAUGCAAAUAGCACAAAGUGUAAUUCUUCAACAAGCUUAAGCCGUUCAGCUUAAUUGUAUUGAUUACAUUUCCAAAACAGAUUUUUAAAUUUAGAGUAGUUUGUAAUGAACUUUUUUUUGGUGUGUGUUUAAAUAUUUGGUUCUGGGCUUGUGCGCUAAGUUUGACUUGAAAUUCUUCCCAUUUUCCCCCCAAAAAACCUUACCGUUGUUGCUCCGUCUGUGGCAGCGGUACCUGGAAUAGCUGAACAAUUGUUACCGACGCUUGGCACCGGCCCCAUCGCUGCUCGCCGGAGCCAAAGCACACUUGAUCUGCUCAGCCUGACAUUAAGAUCAUUAAGUAAAUGAAUGAAUUGUACUGUCACCAAAUUCCCACUCGGGCAGCCAAAGAACAUGUGGGUUUUAUAGCCGGGACCUCUGUCCAGAAUGUCUUAUUGAAUGGCCUGGAUGUCAGGGGUGGGGACAGUCGGCGAAAGGCUUUCUAGUAAAACGUGUGUCUUAAUGAGAAUUACGGUGUGGGGUUGUGUAAGAGCCUGAAUUAGUCGACAUCUGCUCAUCUGAGAUGAGAGUUAAUCAACCUGUGAAGGGCGUGUAAAGAGAAACCUGAGCACGGCAAUAAGAAAAGGAGAGAAUCGAAGAGGGGAGGAGAGAGAUUUCUGCAUUGGCAACUCAGGUCUGUCUUGCUAUUUAAAAAGAAUUUGUUGGGGAAAGAAUGCAGCCAUGGGGUUUGAGGUCUCGCUGCUUGAGCGAAAAUGCUUAAAGGUCGCUUGGGGUUUGGAAGAUCUUGGAGAAAUCCACUGAACUUCCACCUCCGGGAGGAGAAGGUUGAGGAUACUUUCUCAAAUGAGGGGAGUUGACUUGUCAGGCUUGGUUUGCCUUUUCUUGUGAUCUGGGUCCAUCCUCGUUUUUAUUACAUUGUGCCGAAGAUGCUGGUGUUAUUUAUGAAUGGGGGAUGUGAAGGAUCCGUAGAAUCCCCGCUUUGCUGCAGGUGGGUCAGGAGUGUCUCUGAAUCCCAAAGGAAAAGCUGAACGUGUGUUUUGACCAGACGAAGCAUCGAAUCGUGGGUCUGUGGGUGGUGGGUGCUGCAGCCCUGAAUAUCGCAGACGCUCUGUGCUAGGGAUGACUUGAAUUGUUUGAUUCAGUCCAUUCAUGUUGUGAAGUGCAGCAAAGCGUCAGUGUUUAAGACCAUGUUCAGUGCUUUAAACCUGGAGCAAAUCCUUUUCUCUUUCUCCCUUCCUCAUACCUUAGUGUUUGUCUUGGUAAUGGUUAAUUUGAUAAAAGGCGCUAAAAUAGCAUUGGGAACCAACAUUGUCCGUGGUGCUUCCUUAUUCAUGCUUUAACAUUCACUCAUUGCUAUGGGAUGAUGAAAACCAAGUGGUUGGGUCACAUUUGUAGGUGCUGCAAUUCAUGAUCUUUGAAGACCUGUUAAGAAUACACUGAUAUCGCAGUUUCCCUGUGGUCUGAAAUCAGCAAAACUGGGGUUUUGUGCAAGCAGAAGGCAGGGACAGGUCCUGAAAUUCUCAUUUCUUUCCCAUCCGGGACAGCACAUCACGUACAUCUCCACCGAUUCCUGCUUGCGUCUUGGUUCAGCCGGGUGGAAUUUCUGCAGAGGCCGCUUUGUGCAAUAAAGGGUGCUUGGAAGUCUUCUUCCAUGACCACGUUGGCAUAUGCAGCCGUCCCUGUUUUACCUCUGGGUUUGUGGCCCCAGUUCAACCUAAUGUAGGUAAACCCAGUAUUUCUUUAGAUGAGAAAUGCUCUGAGACUCAUCUACCGCUCAUCAUUAGGCUCAGUUGGGAUAAAUAUAUUGUUGCUAUUGCUUUUUCUUCGAGCACGCUGCAGAGGUAUAUGUCAAGUAUGUGAUGGGGGAGUCCUGGUGAGGAAGAAUUGAACAUAUAGAGGGUUGGACCAAGGGGUCCGGGGCUCCUGUCCAACCUGUAUAUGUUUAUGAGCUAUGUUUUCUUUGCAGCGUUGUGCUGCCUGCUUUCUCAGCAUUUAAUUUUGUGUCGCAUGGCAUUUUGAACUCCGGAGAAGUCAUUAAGCUCCGCAUGUGGCGAGAGGGUGCGUACUGUUUCAUUUCAUCGUGAUAAACCGCUGAAAUAAAGAUGAUGGGGAGGGAAAUCACGAGGCGUUUCAAAACCGGGAGUUGAAAUGAGCAUUAAUGCUCUCGAGAAGCGAACUUCUAGAAUUCAUUGCUUGGCUGAUGGAAGGACCAUCCGUCCGGGUGACAACGCUGCUGUCACCGCGACGCUUCCUGACAGAUUGAUGAGCAGAACAUGACGUUUUCCCAUGAAGUCCCAGCAUGAAGUAUUAGAGACGCGGUAGGAAAUGUAGCUGAGAGAAUGAGACAGUAAACUACGAGGCUGCUUGAUAUUCAUGCUUAUCAUACAGAUAGAAAUGCUGGCUUGAAAUAUGUGGUUGGUGCUGUAGGGCCCUGAACCUGCAGCGUCUGUCCCUAUAGAGAAGGGCGUGCGUGGGUUGUAGCCUUGUAAGCUAUAGGAGUCUUUUAGUGGUUUUAGGGUACAAAGCUGGAGGUGAGUGGGCUGGGGGAGCUCUGUGUCAAUGGCAUACAUAGGACGAGAAAAAUAAGCAAGCUGGUUUUUAGUACAUUGCAGAAAUUCAGUAUCUUGGGUGAAAAUUGCUGCGAAUUAGUGCCGUAGUUCAUGUGUCUGUAUUGGGAACUGUUUCUUUUUCCAGUCUUGUAACAACAUGCCUCCUGAUGCAGAUAAUUGCUGGUGCUAAAGGGAAGCUGGAGAUGUAAGGUUUUAUUAUCGUGGAUGAAUUCAGGCUGAUGGAAGGUGGAGUGUGGUACCCACAGGCUGGCAGCUGGGAAAGGCUGAGCAGGAGCUUGGUCACCGUCCCUGCGAUGAGAAAAAAAAAAAGAAGUGGCAAAGAUUAUCAACCCUUGGGUAUCUCCCUGCUGAAUUCCCUUUUGAAUAUAAUGUAGAUAUUGAGUCCGAUUCAUCAGCCGGAUGCUGCAAAACGAAGUGUCUGGUGCCUAAAGCGCCCUGUACAUCACCACAAACAAGAAUUCCAGACUUCCAGAAAGUUUGCAGACCAGAUUUUGCUUGUAAUUUCACAUCGGACUUGACAGUUCUGUAGAUCCCAUGGCCGUCCAAGGACAGAAGGUCUUUCCACUCAAUGGGAAUGCAUAUAUUUAUAUAUAAACAAAUUACUAUGUGCAUUGAAUAACUAUUCUGAAGGGGGGGGAAAAAGCACAACCAACCAAGCAAACCCCCCCCAAAACCCAACACAAAGCAAACAAUCACAAUGCUUCCUCACCGGGGAGGUUUUAGGGAGCACGGGGACGGCUCCGCACCUCGUCCCCGGACCCCAACGCCUGUUUAUCGGGUGAGCUCCAAGCAGCACAUGGACAGCGGCUGCUCAGCGCGGAGCCGCUCGCCGCUAUCGGGCCAGAAACUGCUGUUUCAGCUCCUAAUCAGGGGAUUCAGCUGCUAAAUUGGGGGAUAUUUGUUUGCUUUGAAGCGUGGUUUCGUUUGGGUGAGAUACCAUGUGGUUUGGAUAUUGUGGUGUGAAUUGUUUUAAGCUCGAUGAUUGAAGUACAGAAGUAUUUAACAAUAAAUACUCUAUCAGCAGUUGUGUGUGAAAGGUGGAUACGGCUUUA